GUUGUAUAGUCAAGUAAUUAAGUGCAUGUGGUGGAUGCCUUGGCAGUCAGAGGCGAAGAAAGACGUGAUAGCCUGCGAAAAGCUCCGGGGAGGCGGCAAAUAUCCUGUGAUCCGGAGAUGUCUGAAUGGGGAAACCCACCGGCUAUAAGGUCGGUAUCAUAAACUGAAUACAUAGGUUUAUGAGGCGAACGCGGAGAAGUGAAACAUCUCAGUAUCCGUAGGAAAAGAAAUCAAUUGAGAUUCCCUCAGUAGCGGCGAGCGAAAGGGGAACAGCCCAUUAAGUCAUAUCAGUUUUAGUGGAAUGCUCUGGGAAGUGCAACCAUAGUGGGUGAUAGUCCUGUACACGAAAGGGCUGAUAUGAUGAUGUCGAGUAGGGCGAGGCACGUGAAACCUUGUCUGAAUAUAGGGGGACCAUCCUCUAAGGCUAAAUACUCCUGACUGACCGAUAGUGAACCAGUACCG
rnacentral:rRNA from 2 species